CUACGGGUGUGGCAUGUGCCUCCCAUGUAAAGUCACUAAAAGUACUAAGUGACAUUUAGAAAAUAUAGAGGAUAUUAUUCACAAACCCUAUAUCAUCAAAGACCACCUCACUUGUCAUACUAAGGGCAUUAUAUAUAUCUUAAAAUGCCCCUGCAAUUUAAUAUAUUUAGGAAGAACCAUUAGACCUUUAAAGGUUAGAAUUGCCGAACACAUCCGCAAUAUUAAAAAUGGUCUAGAAACUCAUAGUGUGUCCUUACAUUUUAAAGAGACCCAUAACCAAAAUCCAGAAAAUCUGUUCUUUUGUGCAAUAAAGGAAGUCAAACGAGACUGGAGAGGGGGUAACUAUAUAAAGUUAUUG